rnacentral:rRNA from 1 species
CAGCCGCCGCGGUAAUACAGAGGAUGCAAGCGUUAUCCGGAAUGAUUGGGCGUAAAGCGUCUGUAGGUGGCUUUUCAAGUCCGCCGUCAAAUCCCAGGGCUCAACCCUGGACAGGCAGUGGAAACUACCAAGCUGGAGUACGGUAGGGGUAGAGGGAAUUUCCGGUGGAGUGGUAAAAUGCGUUGAGAUCGGAAAGAACACCAACGGCGAAAGCACUCUGCUGGGCCGACACUGACACUGAGAGACGAAAGCUAGGGGAGCAAAUGGGAUUAGAGACCCGCGUAGUCCCUGUCUCUUAUAC